UGAACUCUAUAAUUUGGAUGGAAUACAAGUUUUUACAUUGAAAAAUAAUAUCCCUCAAGUCUGAUCUGUCGAAAAAAAACGUGUUGAGCUUAUCUACAACCACUUUUCACUCGGUUUAAGAGAAAACUUAUUGUAAAAAUAUACGUUCCGUUUGGAUAGUCUCAUUUUUGUAAUCACAUCACAAAGUUAUUAUUAAUGAUUAAAAUAGUUCGUAGAAUGGGUCUAUAUAUCUAUAUCUAUUUAGAAUUUUGUUAACUUGUACUCAUUUUUUUAGAAUGAAUACUUUAACAACUUACAACCAAAUGUAUUUUAAUAACAAUCAUAGUUAUAAAAUAAAGUAAUCCGGCAACGACGCAUCCGACGGCGAAGACGGCGGAUCCGGCAGCCGGGAAGAACAUAAUCACGCCGAGAAACAGCAGCAGACGGAGCAAGAGCCAGAACACGAUGUUCCUCGGAGCACCGAAUCAUCCGAGAAUAUUGCCACGAUCAAUGAAGAAUAAUCGAGGCAGGUCCCGUUUCGAAAUUAAGGGUUUUGUUUUUAGGUCUUUCUGAUUGUUGCAGUAUUUUUUUUGGCAGUUACGUUUUUUUUUUUACGUUAUGUAAUCAAUUUAAUUGGAAUGUCAUUAAAGAUUUUUUUGCCAUGAAUAAUUACUUCAAAAGUAAUUUGUAGACUAGUUUCUAGUUAGUUGCUGAAAUUUAUUGAGAAACCAGAAUCACAAAAUUGUGUAGGAAUGAUUUUCAAUAAAUUUUAAUCAUUAGUAGAGACUGUGGUGUGAGUUGUUAGAGAAUGUUAACUAGCACUUGGGGGAUUCCCUGCAAAUGGAAAAUUUCUGCAUUCAUGCAUUCAGCUUAUGGCAACAGUUAAAUAUAAAUCAGACCACUCAUAAUUUAUCUUGAUAAAUUUAAUUCAAAGGUUCAAAUUCACGAAUGCGUGAAUUAAAGAAUCCAUUUCCCAUUCGGCACUCCUCUUGUACUAUACUUGGCUCAUGUGGUCAAUUGUCUGACUAAUUGCCUAUUAUGGAUAAAAUAUUGGAGCAUCAUGGUUAUGUGCGGAGAGAAAUCUUGUGUUUUGAGACUCGAGACACUGGAAUUCGCCAAACUAUGAAAUUUGUGUGUACUAAUCACCUUGUGCAUGAAAAGAGAGUAUUGAGUGAAUGCUAUUGGUUUAUGUGACAGAAAGCAUUGGAUCAAGCAAAUGAUGCAAAGGUAAAAGGGAACAAGCUUUUUGGAGAUGGGAAGUAUGAAGAGGUGUUAUCGCAAUAUGAACUUGCUUUACAAGUAGCACCAGACAUGCCUUCAUCUGUCGAAAUACGUUCAAUAUGCCAUUCAAACAGUGGUGGGUGCUUUCUUAAACUGAGAAAGGAGAGGGAAAGUACAACUCGGGGGAGGGUAAGACAUCCUAAAAACCAUAAAAGUUGAGGUGUAACAAAGACCAUGAAAAAGUAAAGCAUGCUGCAAAGCUACCUGCAUACCAGAAAUUGAUAGUCCCAAGAAACAGCCAUGAGCAGCAGCAGAAGCUUAAACUUAAUACUCAUGAUAAGUUUAAGGGAAAUGAGACACCCUUAGAAAUGGAAAAUAUGAUAACACAAUUAAAGAAUGCACAGAAGCAUUAGAACUGAAUCCUGUUUGCGUUAAAGCUUUGGUAAGAAGAGGAGAAGCUCAUGAAAAGCUUGAGCAUUUUGAAGAGGCCAUUGCUGACUUCCAUCUUCAUUCAUUCGUAAGCCAUUCAGCGACUAGAGCCCCUUGCUGCAGAAAAACGAGAAAAGAUGAAGGAGGAAAUGAUUGCAAAACUGAAAGAAAUGGGCAAUUCUGUCCUGGGCCGCUUUGGGAUGAGUGUAGACAACUUUAAAUCAGUCAAAGAUCCAAACACUGGUUCCUUUUCUGUCUCAUUCCAAUGCUAAUUUAUGUAGAGCAAAGUCAUAGCAGCAGUAAGCAAGAAAGAGGCGGUCUAAAGUGAUACAGGAGGUUUGAGACUUCAUUGUGCAUGCAAGUUAUUAGAAAAAUUUGAAUGUUAGUUAUGUAUGAGAACUAGGGCAUGUAAUUUUUUAUUUCCUUCAAAAGGACAUUUGUUAAUUGAUUCAUCAUGUGAAGGGGAUUGAUAAUGAGUUGGUCAUUAUAACAAUCUCUUUUUAACACUAUUGUUAAAUGAAAUUCUAGCUAGGCUCAGUAAUAAAGAGUGGGUCCAGGUUAUCUAGUGACACCAGUGUGAGAUUUAACUUGAUAA